UUCACGGUAUUGCAAUGAGAACAAUUUAAAACCCUUAGCGAGAAUCAAGUGGAGGACAAGUCUGGUGCCAGCACCCGCGGUAAUUCCAGCUCCACUAGCGUAUAUUAAAGUUGUUGCAGUUAAAAAGCUCGUAGUUGAACCUCUGUCUGGGGCUAGUUUUGGCUUUGGUCAGGCUAGUUCUAGGCAUCCGCCUACAAGACUUAGAGGGCAUUCAGUUGUUCACUAGGAGGAGUAGGCAUUUUACUUUGAAAAAAUUAGAGUGUUUAAGGCAGGCAAUCGCCCGCAUAUAUUAGCAUGGAAUAAUAGAAUAGGACACUUUUCCAUUUCGUUGGUUAUUGGAAUCGUGUAAUGAUUAAUAGGGACAGUUGUGGGCAUUUGUAUUUAAUUGUCAGAGGUGAAAUUCUUGGAUUUAUUAAAGACAAACUAACGCGAAAGCAUUUGCCAAGGAUGUUUUCAUUAAUCAAGAACGAAAGUUAGAGGAUCAAAGACGAUCAGAUACCGUCCUAGUCUUAACUAUAAACUAUUCCGACUCAAUGUUUGACUGGCUUAUAUAACCAGUUGAGCGUUGUAUGAGAAAUCAAAGUCUUUAGGUUCUGGGGGGAGUAUGGUUGCAAAGCUGAAACUUAAAGGAAUUGACGGAAGAGCACAACCAGGAGUGGAUUCUGCGGCUUAAUUUGACUCAACACGGGGAAACUUACCAGGUUAAAACAAUAGUGGGAUUGACAGUUUGAGAGCGCUUUCUUGAUUGGUUGGGUGGUGGUGCAUGGCCGUUCUUAGUUGGUGGAGUGAUUUGUCUGCUUAAUUGCGUUAACGAACGAGACCUUAACCUGCUUACUAGACUGGCGAUCAUCAAUCGUUAGCUCUUCUUAGAGGGACUUUGGUUGUUUUAACUCCAAGGAAGUUUGAGGCAAUAACAGGUCUGUGAUGCCCUUAGAUAUCCUGGGCCGCACGCGUCAUACAAUGACUAGUUCAGAAAGUUUUCUCCUGACCCGAAAGGGGAUGGGUAAUCUUGAUAAUACUAGUCGUGUUAGGGAUCGAUCUUUGCAAUUAUAGAUCUUGAACGAGGAAUUCCUAGUAAGUGCGGUUCAUCAGACCGUACUGAUUGCGUCCCUGCUCUUUGUACACACCGCCCGUCGCUUCUACCGAGUGGGUGGUCCGGUGAGAUAAUUGAACUUCGCAGGUAACUGAGAGGAAAGAUUAUCAAACCUAUCCACCU
rnacentral:rRNA from 1 species